rnacentral:rRNA from 1 species
GCAGACGGGAGAGUAACACGUGGGAACGCGCCCUUCGGUUCGGAAUAACUCAGGGAAACUUGAGCUAAUACCGGAUACGCCCUUACGGGGAAAGAUUUAUUGCCGAAGGAACGGCCCGCGUCCGAUUAGUUAGUUGGCGGGGUAAUGGCCCACCAAGACGAUGAUCGGUAUCCGGCCUGAGAGGGCGCACGGACACACUGGAACUGAAACACGGUCCAGACUCCUACGGGAGGCAGCAGUGGGGAAUUUUGCGCAAUGGGGGAAACCCUGACGCAGCAACGCCGCGUGGAGGAUGAAAUAUCUUGGUAUGUAAACUCCUUUCGAUGGGGAAGAUUAUGACGGUACCCAUAGAAGAAGCCCCGGCUAACUUCGUGCCAGCAGCCGCGGUAAUACGAGGGGGGCAAAGCGUUGUUCGGAUUUAUUGGGCGUAAAGGGUGCGUAAGCGGUUUGGCAAA